rnacentral:rRNA from 1 species
AGAGUUUGAUCCUGGCUCAGGAUGAACGCUAGCGGCAGGCUUAACACAUGCAAGUCGAGGGGCAGCGGGGGGCGCGCUUGCGCGUCCCGCCGGCGACCGGCGCACGGGUGAGUAACACGUAUGCAACCUGCCCCCGCCAGGGGUACAACCCUCCGAAAGGGGGGCUGAUACCGCGUACAUCCCCCGGGGGCAUCCCCGGGGGAGGAAAGCCCUACGGGGCGGGCGGGGAUGGGCAUGCGGCGCAUUAGGAAGACGGCGGUGUGACGGACCACCGUUCCGACGAUGCGUAGGGGUUCUGAGAGGAAGGCCCCCCACACUGGUACUGAGACACGGACCAGACUCCUACGGGAGGCAGCAGUGAGGAAUAUUGGUCAAUGGCCGGAAGGCUGAACCAGCCAAGCCGCGGGAGGGAGGAAGGCGCAGAGCGUCGCAGACCUCUUUUGCCGGGGGACAAAAGGCCGGACUCGUCCGGUUCCUGAGGGUACCCGGAGAAAAAGCAUCGGCUAAACUCCGUGCCAGCAGCCGCGGUAAUACGGAGGAUGUGAGCGUUAUCCGGAUUCAUUGGGUAUAAAGGGUGCGCAGGCGGGCCUUUAAGCCGGCGGUGAAAUCGCGGGGCUCAACCCCGCCGAGCCGUCGGAACUGGGGGCCUUGAGUGCGGCGGAGGCAUGCGGAAUGCGCGGUGUAGCGGUGAAAUGCAUAGAUAUCGCGCAGAACCCCGAUUGCCACAGGCAGCGUGCCGUGCCGCCACUGACGCUGAGGCACGAAAGCGCGGGGAUCGAACAGGAUUAGAUACCUCUGGGAAGUCCGCGCCGUAAUCGAAGAGAUGCUGGGUGUCGGGGGCGUUCAGGCCCUGGGUGCGGGAGCGAAAGCGGGUAAGCAUCCCACCUGGGGAGUACGCCGGCAACGGUGAAACUCAAAGGAAUUGACGGGGGGCCGCACAAGCGGAGGAACAUGUGGUUUAAUUCGAUGAUACGCGAGGAACCUUUACCCGGGCUCAAACGGGGGGCGCGGGCGGCAGAGACGCCGCCGUCCUUAUGGACGUCCCCCGAGGUGCUGCAUGGUUGUCGUCAGCUCGUGCCGUGAGGUGUCGGAUUAAGUUCCAUAACGAGCGCAACCCCCGCGCGCAGUUGCUAACGGGUCAGGCCGAGGACUCUGCGCGGACUGCCGGCGCAAGCCGCGAGGAAGGCGGGGACGACGUCAAAUCAGCACGGCCCUUACGUCCGGGGCGACACACGUGUUACAAUGGGGGGUACAGCGGGAAGCCAGGCGGCGACGCCGAGCGGAACCCGAAAGCCCCUCCCAGUUCGGAUCGGAGCCUGCAACCCGGCUCCGUGAAGCUGGAUUCGCUAGUAAUCGCGCAUCAGCCAUGGCGCGGUGAAUACGUUCCCGGGCCUUGUACUCACCGCCCGUCA